UCAGUAACGCGAGCAAAUUUCCAAACAUUGAUCACGAUCCAUUGUUCUAGGUCGAUCCCUGAGGUAAUAUUGUUUGGGUUUUCUAAAAAAAUGGAUUUAUUUGUUUUCUAAAAAAAUUGGAUUUAUGUCAAUUCAGUUAUCUUUCGUGUUGUUUUGAUUUACGAUCCUAACAUGAAACAAUAUACAAAGUUCUUACUGAAUAUGCUAUUGUUUGGUUGUAUGAUUUUCCUGGGGAAAUGUGGAAGGAAAAGAGGCAGCUGUGAUGGUAGCGGUUGUUCUCUAGAUGUGCAGAGUUGAUUAGAUAAUCUAAUAGAUACUUCUGUUAUCAGGAACUUUUUGGGCUAUUGCAUGGACUAUACAUUCUUAAUUGGUUCCUGAUUUAAUAGUCUGGAGAAAAUACAUUGCAGUACUUUUUAAUCUGCUAAUAUUAUCCCACUCAGGAAAAAUGGUGAAAUCCAUCUGCACAAUAAUAAAUGUGCUUCUGAAUAUGAAUUCAUUUAUAAAGUCGCUUCCAAACAAAAUACCUAAUUUGUAAUAAUGUUUUGUGAUGCUGCUUUAAAGUAAACAUUUUCCAUUGCAUUGAAAAGAAAGAUGAGAAAUGUCGUCGCAUUACACAUCUAGAAUUGAAAAAAAAAUAAGUGUCACUAUGUUUUCUUUUAAUGUUUCUAUUAUUCUAUUCUGUUUUUCUAAUACUGCAGACAGAUUCUAAAAUUUUUAAGGUUAUAAUUGUUUAUCUUUCUCCAACAUUGGUGAAUUUUAUUAUUGAGACAUGCUUGGACAUAACAAUGGGAUCAUUUAUGCAGGGAGAAAUUCGUUGAACUUUGUGAUAGUUUCCAGAAUGAUAUUGGGAAAGGGAAUAAUGAUGAGGUAACUAUAAUAUUGUCAGAGAAAAAGGCACUUGAGUCUGAAAAGCAUGAUCUGAAUAUGAAAAUCCAUGCCCUACAAUCUUCAACAAGAGAAUUCCUUGAGGAGAUUCUUGAAGAAAUUCAAAAUUGUAGGCAAUAGAUCAUCACAUGGACUCAAUGUCAAUAAAGCUUCUUGACAUCAAGAAUUGUAGCCUAAUGAAAGUUCCUGAUGUCAAGAAAGCUUGUCCUUUCCAACAUUAGCUUGUGACUCAAAACGUUAAUUCCUUUGGAUUUUUCUUACCUGUUUCUUUGUUUGGGUUUUGAUAUGUUCCCAUAUUAUUGUAGGUUUGUGUUUUAAUGUUUCUGGUGAUCCUUAUUAUUAUAUUUGAGAAGGAUCUGCCGUAAAGUGAUAAUGAUUCUCUCCUUUCUCGGUGAAUGGCUCAUAACCAUACUUGAUUGGGAUUGAAUCACAUUAUUGUAUACGAGAGAAUUUCCUGAUAUAGCGUGUGAUACUCAUUAACAUCUUGAUAAAAUUAGUACUCAUGGAAACUGUGUAAUCCCAGCGUGCAUUAGAGGUUAUGAAGACAUAUGACCUGUUAUUCAAUCUGUCCAUCUUCAGCUUUUCGAGCAGAAUUUUGUGAAGACCAUAGAUAGCUAAUCUUUAGAUACGUGGUCAAAAUUAUGUGUGAUUCAGUAUUUAGGUUAGUAACUUAUCCGAGAUCCUGGGAUGUGACACUGUAUGAGAUUGAGUUCAAUUCCAGAAAAUUUCCUAUCUUACAAUUUCCUUAUUCAAGAUCAAGAACUUAACCACUUGUCUAGAAAAAGUAACUCAGUUUGCAGAGUUCGUUCGAGUUGGAGUGCUAUAAUCAUGUUUAUGUUAUUUCAUUUCUAAUGUUUAUGUUAUGUAAUUAUAUUACUCUGAUAUAGUUUCUCUUGUUGCAAUUUACUUAGAAAAUAAAAGUUGACAAUUUCCAAGUAUGGAGGUUGGAGCUUCCUUGAUUCUUUAGUGAACUGCAGUGAACUUCAAGCACUGAGUUUGGACUACAAUGGUCCAAAGGGACUCGGAGGAGUUAUGCCCAAAUCUGUAGCUAAUCUCUCUACAAAUCUACAAUGGUUGGCGUUGGGGGUAACACGAUUUCUGGAAGAAUACCUGAAGAAAUUGGGAAUCUUGCAAGCUUAACUAUUUUUGGUAUGGAAGAAUUUUUUUUAAGAGGUACUAUUCCUACAAGUAUUGGCCAAAUUCAGAGUCUACAAGAAGUGUAUUUAUCUGGAAACAAGUUGUCAGGAGAGAAUGCCUUGGAAGGAAGUAUUCCUCCCAUACUUGGAAAUUGUCAGGCUCUGCGACUGCUUAACCUUUCAUACAAUCGGAUUACAGGUACCAUUCCUAAAGAAAUCAUUAGCAUUUCGUUGCUCACUGAAUUUGUCGACUCGACUCACAAUCAGAUUACUGGAUGUUAGGAAGGUUUGUGCUCUUCUGCGCCUGAUGUGGUUUCAUGCUCAUCCUGCCACAGUAAUAAUAUAUCAGUGAUUCCUGCAUAAUAUACUGCAGCGCAUAAAUAUAUUGCAGUGUGCAGUGCAUAAUAUAUCAGUGCAUAAACUUGUCGGAUACCCCCUUGCGUAGAUGCAUACAUUUAUUUGGGCAUGUAUUUAAUUAUACAAUACACUUCACAUACAAUGUACGUCUGAAGAUCAAAGUUGGAAUAAACAAUGUACGUCUGAACCUCAGGACCAUUCACAUCAAUGAGGCACUUCAGAUGCAAAUUGAAGUGCAAAGAAGGCUUCACGAACAGCUUGAGGUGCAAAGACACUUGCAGCUGAGAAUAGAGGCACAGGGAAAAUAUUUACAAUCAGUGCUGGAGAAAGCCCAAGAGACUUUGGGGAAGCAAAACUUGGGUUCUGCAGGACUCGAGGCUGCCAAAGUGCAACUGUCGGAACUCGUCUCCAAAGUUUCAAAUGAAUGUUUUAGCAGUGCGUUUCCUGGUGUGGAGGAAAUUUCAAGUUUACACACGCUGCAACCACACCAAGCUCAACUUGCAGAUUUAUGUCAAUUGUCUUCUUGCGGUUAGGGUAAAGUUUAUUAUCAUCAUUGCAAAAAUUAUGCUGAUUCAUGGAAAUUUACACAUGUACAGAAAUGACGAAAACCAAGAUUGAGAUUGAUACUGACAGGUUCCUAGUGAGUAUUUGACAUUGAGGCACAAGUUUUUGGAAACAAAUAGAGAAUAUAAAGUCUUUGACCGAGAAGUUUCAUGUUUUGUAAUCAAAUGUUGAUGUACAUUGUUUGAAUGUUAGUUCGGUACGAUAUUUUUUGAGUUGAAAUGUUGGU